rnacentral:rRNA from 1 species
GACGAACGCUGGCGGCGUGCCUAACACAUGCAAGUCGAGCGAGCGGCGGACGGGUGAGUAAUGUCUGGGAACCUGCCUGAUGGAGGGGGAUAACUACUGGAACCGGUAGCUAAUACCGCAUACCAUCAGAUGUGCCCAGAUGGGAUUCGCUAGUAGGUGGGGUAACGGCUCACCUAGGCGACGAUCCCUAGCUGGUCUGAGAGGAUGACCGGCGACACGGGAGCGGAGACACGGUCCAGACUCCUACGAGAGGCAGCAGUGGGGAAUGUUGGACAAUGGGGGCAAGCCUGAUGCAGCCAUGCCGCGUGUAUGAAGAAGGCCUUCGGGUUGUAAAGUACGUUCAGCGGGGAGGCGGUAGCCGCAGAAGAAGCACCGGCUAACUACGUGCCAGCAGCCGCGGUAAUUC